GAUGAACGCUGGCGGCGUGCCUAAUACAUGCAAGUCGAGCGAACAGACGAGGAGCUUGCUCCUCUGACGUUAGCGGCGGACGGGUGAGUAACACGUGGAUAACCUACCUAUAAGACUGGGAUAACUUCGGGAAACCGGAGCUAAUACCGGAUAAUAUAUUGAACCGCAUGGUUCAAUAGUGAAAGACGGUUUUGCUGUCCCUUAUAGAUGGAUCCGCGCCGCAUUAGCUAGUUGGUAAGGUAACGGCUUACCAAGGCGACGAUGCGUAGCCGACCUGAGAGGGUGAUCGGCCACACUGGAACUGAGACACGGUCCAGACUCCUACGGGAGGCAGCAGUAGGGAAUCUUCCGCAAAGGGCGAAAGCCUGACGGAGCAACGCCGCGUGAGUGAUGAAGGUCUUCGGAUCGUAAAACUCUGUUAUUAGGGAAGAACAAAUGUGUAUGUAACUAUGCACGUCUUGACGGUACCUAAUCAGAAAGCCACGGCUAACUACGUG
rnacentral:rRNA from 1 species